AUGCUAUUGAAGAGUCCCAAACUAGGACGAAACAGCUGUCCAGUAC
rnacentral:hammerhead_ribozyme from 1 species